CCUCCACCAUGUCAAGAAGACUUCAUAACAACAGAAAAGUUGUAACAGAAGAUACAAAUUAUACUUCUGUGAGAUAAGCACGUCAUAGUCUCAAUUCUAGAGUAUAAAUAUUUGAUCAAAUGUUGGACAAUCCACCAUAUUAUAGAAUAUGAUAGAAUAGCUAUUUAUGCAAUAUUGCUGAGGGUAUGACUGUCCCCAGAUCCCUUCCCAAGAACCUACUUUUUCUGUAAAUAUAACCAUGUAAAGCGCAUUUUACUGAGCAGAAAUAACACUUUUUAACAGUAUUAAUCCAUGUAUACAAGCAAAUAAUUGUCACAUACAACACUUGAUUCCAUGAUAAGGAAAGAUACAUAGAGUUUCCAGAAAAUUAAAGUAUGUUUAAAGAAGCUUUGCACUUUCUACAAUGAAAGAUGGUCAGGCAAAGUAAUGAGUUGCAUGGAUAAGAUAUACACAGAAACCAUUUAAGAGUGGAGGUCUCAUCAAAUAGCAUUUCUCUGCCACUUGGAAGAGCAAAUAUGCAUAUAUAUGAAUGUUAAUCUAGGAGUUUGAAGAACUUACAGGGGGAAACUAAAAAAACAAAAAGCAGCACCACUAAUAAGCCAAAAUGAAAUUUUUGUUUAUAAAAAAGCAUUUCAGGCAACAUACUUAACAUGGUAAUGUUUAUCAAACUGACAUUCAAAUA
rnacentral:misc_RNA from 1 species